GACGAACGCUGGCGGCGUGCUUAACACAUGCAAGUCGAACGGAAAGGCCCUGCUUUUGUGGGGUGCUCGAGUGGCGAACGGGUGAGUAACACGUGAGUAACCUGCCCUUGACUUUGGGAUAACUUCAGGAAACUGGGGCUAAUACCGGAUAGGAGCUCCUGCUGCAUGGUGGGGGUUGGAAAGUUUCGGCGGUUGGGGAUGGACUCGCGGCUUAUCAGCUUGUUGGUGGGGUAGUGGCUUACCAAGGCUUUGACGGGUAGCCGGCCUGAGAGGGUGACCGGCCACAUUGGGACUGAGAGACGGCCCAGACUCCUACGGGAGGCAGCAGUGGGGAAUAUUGCACAAUGGGCGGAAGCCUGAUGCAGCAACGCCGCGUGCGGGAUGACGGCCUUCGGGUUGUAAACCGCUUUCGCCUGUGACGAAGCAUGAGUGACGGUAAUGGGUAAAGAAGCACCGGCUAACUACGUG
rnacentral:rRNA from 1 species